ACACGCAUGACACACUGCAUAUCAAUAAGCGGAGGAAAAGAAACUAACAAGGACUCCCUUAGUAACGGCGAGUGAAGCGGGAAGAGCUCAAAUUUGAAAUCUUCAAGGUUUUACCUUGACGAAUUGUAGUUUAAAGAAGUGUUUUCUGUUGGAGUUUUGGUAAAAGUUCUUUGGAAUAGGACAUCAUAGAGGGUGAGAAUCCCGUAUUUGACCAUUAUUUCCAGCUGUGUGAUACACUUUCAAAGAGUCGGAUUGUUUGGGAAUGCAGUCCAAAAUGGGUGGUAAAUUUCAUCUAAAGCUAAAUAUUGGCGAGAGACCGAUAGCGAACAAGUACCGUGAGGGAAAGAUGAAAAGAACUUUGAAAAGAGAGUUAAACAGUAUGUGAAAUUGUCAAAAGGGAAGCGUUUGACACCAGUGUUGUUUUUCCGAAAAUCAAUUACGAAUGUUUUAUUUUUGAGGAAGUUAUGACUUCAUCGGCUUGCUCCUUUCUUUAUGAAACUUUCUUAAUGCACUUUUCGGUUAACAAGUCAACAUCAAUUUCUUUUGUUGUAAAAGGGUAUGAGGAAGGUGGCUUUCUUUUCGGAGAAAGUGUUUAUAGCCUUGUACCUCUGCAAUCGGAGAGAUUGAGGUCUGCAGCGUAGAUCCUUCGGGGCUAGAUACGUUUGUGCUAAGUUAUAGCUUUUCAUAGACAACUUGUUGACUAUGUUUAGUCUUGUAGCUUACUCGCAUGCGCUAUUUUACCUACGCUUAGGAUGUUGAUCUACAGAGCGAGAGU
rnacentral:rRNA from 1 species